rnacentral:rRNA from 1 species
UACAGAGGUCCCGAGCGUUGUUCGGAUUCAUUGGGUUUAAAGGGUCCGUAGGCGGUUUAAUAAGUCAGUGGUGAAAGCCCAUCGCUCAACGGUGGAACGGCCAUUGAUACUGUUAAACUUGAAUUAUUAGGAAGUAACUAGAAUAUGUAGUGUAGCGGUGAAAUGCUUAGAGAUUACAUGGAAUACCAAUUGCGAAGGCAGGUUACUACUAAUGGAUUGACGCUGAUGGACGAAAGCGUGGGAGCAAACAGG